rnacentral:lncRNA from 1 species
UAAUUAUUAACAGGGCAGUCGCCGCUUCGCAACUUUGAGCUGCUUGUAUCUUGUCCCCUUACCCUGUGGACCAGCAAGCUGGGGGAGGCAGCAGCUCUGCAGGGCAGGAGAUGGGGCUCUGGCGCUGCGCUCCAUCUCUGUGCAUCUCAGCAAACACAGAAACACAUUAUCAUUUGGCUGGAAGUUUUUGCACAUCCAAGACAUCACUUGAACAAUUAAGAGGCUGCCCUGAUGAGCUCCUCACUCUGGUCCCUUAACCCACGUCUCCAAGAGCUACCUCUGCUUUUCAGAUCCCCCAUAAAGAAGCAGCUACUCUGGACCCUGUCACCCACAGCUAUAAUCAGUGUUUGAAUCAGUGCCAGACUUGAGCCACAUGUCCAUCAGUGUUGGGGACAGAUUUCACAUAUGACGAUGAUGAAGACGUCUCCUUGUGG